UACGAAGGGGGCUAGCGUUGCUCGGAAUCACUGGGCGUAAAGGGUGCGUAGGCGGGUCUUUAAGUCAGGGGUGAAAUCCUGGAGCUCAACUCCAGAACUGCCUUUGAUACUGAGGAUCUUGAGUUCGGGAGAGGUGAGUGGAACUGCGAGUGUAGAGGUGAAAUUCGUAGAUAUUCGCAAGAACACCAGUGGCGAAGGCGGCUUCCUGGCCUGUUCUUGACGCUGAGGCGCGAAAGCUAGGGGAGCAAACGGG
rnacentral:rRNA from 1 species